rnacentral:rRNA from 1 species
AUUGAACGCUGGCGGCAGGCUUAACACAUGCAAGUCGAGCGGAGUGAUGGUGCUUGCACUAUCACUUAGCGGCGGACGGGUGAGUAAUGCUUAGGAAUCUGCCAUUUAGUGGGGGACAACAUUCCGAAAGGAAUGCUAAUACCGCAUACGUCCUACGGGAGAAAGCAGGGGAUCUUCGGACCUUGCGCUAAAUGAUGAGCCUAAGUCGGAUUAGCUAGUUGGUGGGGUAAAGGCCUACCAAGGCGACGAUCUGUAGCGGGUCUGAGAGGAUGAUCCGCCACACUGGGACUGAGACACGGCCCAGACUCCUACGGGAGGCAGCAGUGGGGAAUAUUGGACAAUGGGCGGAAGCCUGAUCCAGCCAUGCCGCGUGUGUGAAGAAGGCCUUUUGGUUGUAAAGCACUUUAGGCGAGGAGGAGGCUACUAGUACUAAUACUACUGGAUAGUGGACGUUACUCGUAGAAUAAGCACCGGCUAGCUCUGUGCCAGCCGCCGCGGUAACAC